rnacentral:rRNA from 1 species
AUACGGAGGAUCCGAGCGUUAUCCGGAUUUAUUGGGUUUAAAGGGUGCGCAGGCGGCCAUUUAAGUCAGCGGUUAAAUCGUGGGGCUCAACCCCAUUCUGCCGUUGAUACUGGGUGGCUUGAUUGCGGUCGAGGUUGGCGGAAUUCGUUGUGUAGCGGUGAAAUGCAUAGAUAUGACGAAGAACACCGAUUGCGUAGGCAGCUGACCAGACCGCAAAUGACGCUCAUGCACGAAAGUGCGGGGAUCGAACAGGAUUAGAUACCCUGGUAGUCCGCACAGUAAACGAUGAAUACUUGUUUUCGGCGAUAUAAUGUCGGAGGCAAAGCGAAAGCGAUAAGUAUUCCACCUGGGGAGCACGCCGGCAACGGUGAAACUCAAAUGAAUUGGCGGGG